rnacentral:rRNA from 1 species
CCUACGGGGGGCAGCAGUAAGGAAUAUUGGUCAAUGGACGCAAGUCUGAACCAGCCAUGCCGCGUGGAGGAUGAAGGUCCUCUGGAUUGUAAACUUCUUUUAUAAGGGACGAAAAAAGGGUUUUCUAACUCACUUGACGGUACCUUAUGAAUAAGCACCGGCUAACUCCGUGCCAGCAGCCGCGGUAAUACGGAGGGUGCAAGCGUUAUCCGGAUUCACUGGGUUUAAAGGGUGCGUAGGCGGGCAGGUAAGUCAGUGGUGAAAUCUCAGAGCUUAACUCUGAAACUGCCAUUGAUACUAUCUGUCUUGAAUUCUCUGGAGGUGAGCGGAAUAUGUCAUGUAGCGGUGAAAUGCUUAGAUAUGACAUAGAACACCUAUUGCGAAGGCAGCUCACUACGGAGUCAUUGACGCUGAGGCACGAAAGCGUGAGGAUCAAACAG